rnacentral:rRNA from 1 species
CCUACGGGAGGCAGCAGUGAGGAAUAUUGGUCAAUGGACGAGAGCCUGAACCAGCCAAGUCGCGUGAAGGAUGACUGUCCUAUGGGUUGUAAACUUCUUUUAUAUGGGAAUAAAAUGCUCCACGUGUGGGGUUUUGUAUGUACCAUAUGAAUAAGGAUCGGCUAACUCCGUGCCAGCAGCCGCGGUAAUACGGAGGAUCCGAGCGUUAUCCGGAUUUAUUGGGUUUAAAGGGUGCGUAGGUGGCUUGUUAAGUCAGUGGUGAAAGUUUGCGGCUCAACCGUAAAAGUGCAGUUGAAACUGGUAGGCUUGAGUACGGUAGAGGUAGGCGGAAUGCGUGGUGUAGCGGUGAAAUGCUUAGAUAUCACGAAGAACUCCGAUUGCGAAGGCAGCUUACUG